rnacentral:rRNA from 1 species
CGCAUCUGUGCAUGCAGCAUAUCAAUAAGCGGAGGAAAAGAAACUAACAAGGAUUCCCCUAGUAACGGCGAGUGAAGCGGGAAGAGCUCAAAUUUGAAAUCUUAAAGGGUUUCCCUUUACGAAUUGUAGUUUAAAGAAGUGUUUUCUGUUGAGGUUUUGGUAAAAGUUCUUUGGAAUAGGACAUCAUAGAGGGUGAGAAUCCCGUAUUUGACCUUUACUUUCAACUUUGUGAUACACUUUCAAAGAGUCGGAUUGUUUGGGAAUGCAGUCCAAAAUGGGUGGUAAAUUUCAUCUAAAGCUAAAUAUUGGCGAGGAGACCGAUAGCGAACAAGUACCGUGAGGGAAAGAUGAAAAGAACUUUGAAAAGAGAGUUAAACAGUACGUGAAAUUGUCAAAAGGGAAGCGUUUGACACCAGUGUUGUUUUUCUGAAAAUCAAUUAAAGAACUGUUUAUGCUAAGUUGUUUAGACUUUAUCAGCUAUCUGUUUAGUUUUGAGCUUUUCUUUAAUGCACUUUUCAGUUAACAAGUCAACAUCAAUUUCUUUUGCUGUAAAAAAGCUUGAGGAAGGUGGCUUGAGAUUCGUCUUAAGUGUUUAUAGCCUCUUGCCUAUGCAGUCGGAGAGAUUGAGGUCUGCAGCGUAGAUCCUUCGGGGCUAAAUGCAUUUGUGCUAAGUUAUAGCAUUUUAUAGACAACUUGUUGACUAUGAUUUGUCUUGUAGCUUACUCGCUUAUGUUAUUUUACCUACGCUUAGGAUGUUGAAGAUAUGCGCGACACG